GGCGGGGGCGGGGCGGCCCUGAAGUGCGGGUUAGGCGUCGGCCCGGAGCGGCGGGGCCGGAUGAGUGACAGCUGCGAGGCCGGCUGAGUGCCCGCCCUCCGCAGCUCGGGGGAGGGAUCGGACCCUCAACUACCCAGCCGGGGAAGGGGCGCGACGACUGGCAGCGGAAGCCGCUCUGUCCUGGGCCUCCGGGUCCUGCCAGGACCCCGUCUGUGGGUAGAAAAUUUUGCUGCAGGUGUCAGAAGCUUUUAUAAUUCUCGAGCUCAGCCUCGGGGAAGGAAUGAGACAAACGUGGAGGAGUAAAUGAAGCCUGCAAUUCCUAGUUGUGCCAAGGCCCGAAGAAGUCGGCCUGGUGCCAGGCGGGCACCAGCUGCCAUCAACGCUUUGGCUCCAAGCCCCUACAUUCCACUGCCAACAAUUCAAUGCAAAUGCUAUUGCCCACUCAAGGACAAGAUAACAACUGCCUUUUGCCAGACGUGACUUUGCUGUGACCAGAUGACAUCAAGACAAGCUGCGACCUUCCUGUUCUUCUUGCCUUCAACCCCCCCCUUUUAAAAAUAGAUAAAUAAAUACAGCAGUGUA